rnacentral:rRNA from 1 species
GAGUUUGAUCCUGGCUCAGAACGUACGCUGGCGGCACGCCUAACACAUGCAAGUCGAACGAAGUAGCAAUACUUAGUGGCAGACGGGUGAGUAACAUGUAGGUAUCUGCCCUUUGGCCUGGAAUAACACGAGGAAACUUGUGCUAAUACCGGAUAAGUCUUUACGGAGAAAGCUUUAUGCACCAUUGGAUGAGCCUGCACUUGAUUAGUUUGUUGGUGGGGUAAUGGCCUACCAAGACUGUGAUCAAUAGCUGAUUUGAGAGGAUGAUCAGCCACAUUGGGACUGAGACACGGCCCAAACUCCUACGGGAGGCAGCAGUGGGGAAUCUUGCACAAUGGAGGAAACUCUGAUGCAGCGAUGCCGCGUGAGUGAAGAAGGCCUUUGGGUUGUAAAGCUCUUUCGUCGGGGAAGAAAAUGACUGUACCCGAAUAAGAAGGUCCGGCUAACUUCGUGCCAGCAGCCGCGGUAAUACGAAGGGACCUAGCGUAGUUCGGAAUUACUGGGCUUAAAGAGUUCGUAGGUGGUUGAAAAAGUUAGUGGUGAAAUCCCAGAGCUUAACUCUGGAACUGCCAUUAAAACUUUUCAGCUAGAGUAUGAUAGAGGAAAGCAGAAUUUCUAGUGUAGAGGUGAAAUUCGUAGAUAUUAGAAAGAAUACCAAUUGCGAAGGCAGCUUUCUGGAUCAUUACUGACACUGAGGAACGAAAGCAUGGGUAGCGAAGAGGAUUAGAUACCCUCGUAGUCCAUGCCGUAAACGAUAUGUGUUAGACGUUGGAAAUUUAUUUUCAGUAUCGCAGGGAAACCGAUAAACACACCGCCUGGGGAGUACGACCGCAAGGUUAAAACUCAAAUGAAUUGACGGGGACCCGCACAAGUAGUGGAGCAUGUGGUUUAAUUCGAAGAUACGCGCAGAACCUUACCAACACUUGACAUGUUCGUCGCGACUCUAAGAGAUUAGAGUUUUCGGUUCGGCCGGACGAAACACAGGUGCUGCAUGGCUGUCGUCAGCUCGUGUCGUGAGAUGUUGGGUUAAGUCCCGCAACGAGCGCAACCCUCACUUUUAGUUGCCAUCAUUAAGUUGGGCACUCUGAAAGAACUGCCAGUGAUAAGCUGGAGGAAGGUGGGGAUGACGUCAAGUCCUCAUGGCCCUUACGUGUUGGGCUACACACGUGCUACAAUGGUAUCUACAACAGGAAGCAAGACUGCGAAGUUAGGCAAAUCCCUAAAAGAUACCUCAGUUCGGAUUGCACUCUGCAACUCGAGUGCAUGAAGCUGGAAUUACUAGUAAUCGUGGAUCAGCGUGCCACGGUGAAUGCGUUCCCGGGUCUUGUACACACCGCCCGUCACACCAUGGGAGUUGGUUCUACCUUAAGGCAAGGUUUAAAACCCUUGACCACGGUAUAGUCAGCGACUGGGGUGAAGUCGUAACAAGGUAACC